rnacentral:misc_RNA from 1 species
GACUGCCCUGUAGCUGCUGGU